ensembl:lncRNA
GGAGUCCAGUCCUGCUGAAGUUCCCAGUGAGACACCUACACCAACCAGGACACUUAACCUCACAGGCAGCCCGGGCGGCCCAGCUGCUGGAAGCUGGACUUCUAGCCUCCAAACAAGCCCACCGCCCCUCACUAGCUCCAUCCGUUCAGUCACGUCCCCUGUAUCGUUUCGUAAUAAUUCAAGAUGCCAAUCGCCUAUGAGCACUCAGAAUAUCCUGUUUUCUACAGUUACCUCCACUUCCACAUCCAGACCCUCACAAACAUCCACAGCCACCUUUCCACGCUCUCCUCCUUGGGGUUCAAGGUGUCAGUCCCCAGUGGUCAGCCAGUCCGCUAUCAUUUCCCCGAUUCCUGCUUCCCAAACUUCUACAUCUCCUUCUCCCCUUUCUCCUCCUUGGGGUGUAAGGUGCCAAUCCCCAAUGGGGACCCAGAACAACAAGCCCUCCACUGGUUCCUCAUUUUCUGCAUCUAAACCUCCCCAAUCAUCUACAGCGACUUCACCACACACACCUCCCUGGGCAUCUAGAUGCCAAUCCCCAGUGGUGAAUACCCAGCCUUCCACUAGCUCCUCAGUUCCUACAUCCAGACCUUCCAAAACAAAUGUAUCCACACCUCCUCCUUGGGGAUCAAGAUGCCAAUCACCAUUAGUAAGCCAGAAGGUCCAGUCCUCUAGCGUCUUAGUUUCCACAUCCAGACCAUCCCAGUCAUCCACAGUCACAUCUCCUGUCUCUCCUCCAUGGGGCUCACGUUCUCAGUCUCCUUCACACUUUCAAACCAGUUUUUCUCUCUCUACCACUAAACCUCUGUACACAUCCUCCGUCACCUCUCCUGUUUCCUUGCCCAAAGACAGUCGCUGCAUGUCUCCCACAGUUAACAACUUGGACUCUAAAGCCAACCAUCGUCUGCUGGCCAAAAAUAUCAUCAACGCAGCCAAACGUAAAAACAGCCCUUCUCCUGGUGCACUAAGCGGUCACAGUCUUCCCAUCUCAUCUCUGGGCUACGAUGGUCAAAAACCACCCGUCAACCUCUUCCAGUCACGGUCACUGGGGGCACAGUCCCCUACUUUCACCAGCCCUCCCCCAACUCCAACUCAGAGAAUCUGUUCUCCUGUGCGUCUCUACAACACUCGCUCCCUGACCGACUCCGACGCCUCUGUUGAAUCCGAAGACUCAGGCCUCCGCUCGCCCGGCCUCCACUCCUACAACACUUGUCCCCGCGGCUGGGGCGGCAGCCUGAGGGUGAAACGAAGCACCAUCUCCACUGACCUGUGAGGGCGUUAUUGAGUGUCGACAAAAGCACAAUUUCAGAUUUCAUAGAGUUUUGUGGAAGUAGAUCACCAAGUAACCGAGUUUCUAGAGACAUUUCAUCAGACUAAUGUUAGAUAAGUACUACAUAAGUAACUUUGAUUGCAGAUCCUAUAAUGGUAUAUGUUGUAUCGAGGUAGUUUAUAGUAUUUCAUAUGGCUCACAUUCAUAGUAUGGCCUGACAAGAACAAGCUUUUUACACAACACAGUUGCUGUGGCUUGUAUGCUUCUUACGCGCCAAAAAAGUGCAAAAGACUCAAAAUAACCAAAGAUAUUUCAAUACAUAUUAUACUUUCACAACAAACAUACAGAAUCUUCACCGUCGAUACUGUGUUUGAAAAGUGUUUGAAGAAAAGUAUCCAUUUUAAACUUCAUUAAUGAACUAGUUUGAUGACGCAAGUAGAAAAUUGGGGUUGAGACUUAAAAAUGUUGAAGUGUAAGGAAAUGAGUAACAUGUAAAUAUACCCCUCAAGUGAGUUUAUACUGCUUUGGUUGAGCCAUUCUCAUUGUACUGCUUUAGGAUAUGACCAAGCAGUGAAUUGAUAAAAUGACAACUGAUUUAGGCAGUACCGAUUAUGAUGGGUUUCCUUCCCUUUUCCACAACAAAAACACAGCAGUAGAUAGGUAGCACACACGCAUUUAUUACCAGCUGUAACCACUGCAAAGUAAGUAAAAUGCAUAAAUAUCACAGUGCAAUAAUGAGUUUAGCAAAGCGUAUAGACGUUGCUCUGAUUUGCUGAAAUGAAUGUAAGAUUUAUAGACAGACUGACGAAGAAUGACAGAAAAAAAGGGAUCGUUAAAUACAGAGACUUAUGUGGAGGUAAGACAGGGCAUUGAUACAACUGUUCAAUCAAACACUGUUUCCGAGUUCCAAGAAAGAUGUCAAAAUUGUUGUAUUUUUUGUUUCUUUUGCUGUUGUCGACAGAAAAACGGUUGAUUAAGGAUUGAGACAAGGAAUGGAUUAAAAUUUAUAUAUUUCACUGAGAGCCUGUUAGAGAGAAGUUCAGAAGUAAAAGUGGAUGUCACAGAAGUGUGUGCUUUAAGCUUUUUUGGAGAGGAGGGAAAAAAGAUUUUGAAGAAUGUUGUACGUUGUAAAGUGACUGUCAGAAGAUGAUUGGAGGACCAGUAUGUAUUUGAAAUGCAUAUAAAAAAUCAAAUGUAUGUUCUCGUUCACUUUUAUUGUUUCUCUUUGUACUUGAUUUGCACUUCUUUUCAUUCCAUUUCAGGGGCUAAGAAGGGGUUGUUCAAAAACUUGAUUGCUCUGAGAAGUGUCACUCAAACCUUGCAAACACUUGUAUACUGUAAAAAAAUAAAAUAGCCCACAGCUGGAGAAUGCAUAAUGCUGACAUGAUGAUGGUGGCACUUAGCCGCAAACAUACCUGCUGCCAGAACGAGCUUUAUGUUUCAAGCGUGGAGGCAUAUUACACCACCUUCUCAAGUCGUUCGCUAGCACAACAGAUCAUUCCUUCAUUCCCUGACACGCAGGCCAAAAGCAUCAGCACAUUUCUAAAUAUUUACCCUGUGUGUCUUUUGAGUGACGGGGACUCCUGCUGCACAGUGACCCGGCUCCUUAAGCAGGAUUAGGCCUAUCACUGUCACAGCUUGAGUUCAACCUGGGUAACCACUAGGUGGACUGCAGAAGUUCUCAGACUUUAACAAGAAUUGUUAUAGUUUUGAAUUUGAAAGCAGGGUUUUUUGGGAGUGCUUUGGGAGGGGGGUGGAGGGGGGGUGGUUGAUUGCAUGCCUGCAUUUUAUAACCCAUGUUGCAUAACUGUAUGAUCUUUGAAUGAUUUUAUGCAGAAUAAAAAAAU